UUGUUUAUUAACUGCUGUUGCUAAAGCUAGUUCAAAAGUGAUUGAAACCGUUACAGGAUUGGUUAAUGACCUUUCAAAAACGAUUAAUGAUGUUCUUGGAGUAGUUAUAACGGAUGUUGUUUUUGUUCAUAAUUCUUGUGGUGGAAGUGGGUUGUAAAAUGGUUUGGAUUAAUCGAUAUAAUUAAUUUUAUGGUUGUUAGAAAAGGUUGUUUUAAAAUUUUCCGAUUAUUUUUUUUUGUUUGGAUAUAAAUAAGUUGAUUGAGUCAAAUAUAUAUUUUUAAAGACCGAA